rnacentral:rRNA from 1 species
GUAGGUGGCAAGCGUUGUCCGGAAUUAUUGGGCGUAAAGCGCGCGCAGGUGGGAUAAUAAGUCUGGUGUGAAAGUUCGGGGCUCAACCCCGUGAAGCAUUUGGAUACUGUUAUUCUUGAGUGCAGGAGAGGAAAGUGGAAUUCCUAGUGUAGCGGUGAAAUGCGUAGAUAUUAGGAGGAACACCAGUGGCGAAGGCGACUUUCUGGACUGUGUCUGACACUGAGGCGCGAAAGCCAGGGUAGUGAACGGGAUUAGAUACCCCGGUAAUCCUGGCCGUAAACGAUGGGUACUAGGUGUUGGGGGUAUCGACCCCUCCAGUGCCGGAGUUAACGCAAUAAGUACCCCGCCUGGGGAGUACGGCCGCAAGGUUG